rnacentral:misc_RNA from 1 species
GCAGAAUGUGGACGGUAAAUUUUGAUAUUAAUGGCUUACUGGUGUCAUCUCUUAGGUCCUCUUCCAUUUCAAAUUGUUUGACAUACUCUUAUUGGUUGUUUGAUUUGUUGCCAAAUUAACUAUAUUAUCAUCUCUGGUUAGAUGGAAUAAAAUGAAUUAUAGAGGUAAGUCUACAACUAUUAAACGAGAUGGCUAGAAGAUGCUUUUAAU